rnacentral:rRNA from 1 species
AUAUUGCGCAAUGGCCGCAAGGCUGACGCAGCGACGCCGCGUGUGGGAUGACGGCCUUCGGGUUGUAAACCACUGUCGGGAGGGACGAAUACUCGGCUUGUCCGAGGGUGACGGUACCUCCAAAGGAAGCACCGGCUAACUCCGUGCCAGCAGCCGCGGUAAUACGGAGGGUGCGAGCGUUGCCCGGAAUCACUGGGCGUAAAGGGCGCGUAGGCGGCUCGUUAAGUGGCUGGUGAAAUCCCGGGGCUCAACUCCGGGGCUGCCGGUCAUACUGGCGAGCUGGAGCACGGUAGAGGCGGAUGGAAUUCCCGGUGUAGCGGUGGAAUGCGUAGAUAUCGGGAAGAAUACCGGUGGCGAAGGCGUUCCGCUGGGCCGUUGCUGACGCUGAGGCGCGACAGCGUGGGGAGCAAAC